UGGGGGUGCUAUACAUGCCAGUCGAGCGAACGGAUGAGGAGCUUGCUCCUUUGAAGUUAGCGGCGGACGGGUGAGUAACACGUGGGUAACCUACCUAUAAGACUGGAAUAACUUCGGGAAACCGGAGCUAAUGCCGGAUAACAUAUAGAACCGCAUGGUUCUAUGGUGAAAAAUGGUUUUGCUAUCACUUAUGGAUGGACCCGCGCCGUAUUAUCUAGUUGGUAAGGUAAUGGCUUACCAAGGCGACGAUUCGUAGCCGACCUGAAAGGGUGAUCGGCCACACUGGAACUGAGACACGGUCCAGACUCCUACGGGAGGCAGCAGUAGGGAAUCUUCCGCAAUGGGCGAAAGCCUGACGGAGCAACGCCUCGUGAGUGAUGAAGGUUUUCGGAUCGUAAAACUCUGUUAUUAGGGAAGAACAAAUGCGUAAGUAACUGUGCGCAUCUUGACGGUACCUAAUCACAAAGCCACGGCUAACUACGUGCCAGCAGCCGCGGUAAUACGUAGGUGGCAAGCGUUAUCCGGAAUUAUUGGGCGUAAAGCGCGCGUAGGCGGUUUCUUAAGUCUGAUGUGAAAGCCCACGGCUCAGCCGUGGAGGGUCAUUGGAAACUGGGAAACUUGAGUGCAGAAGAGGAAAGUGGAAUUCCAUGUGUAGCGGUGAAAUGCGCAGAGAUAUGGAGGAACACCAGUGGCGAACGCGACUUUCUGGUCUGUAACUGACGCUGAUGUGCGAAAGCGUGGGGAUCAAACAAGAUUAGAUACCCUGGUAGUCCACGCCGUAACGAUGAGUGCUAAGUGUUAGGGGGUUUCCGCCCCUUAGUGCUGCAGCUAACGCAUUUAGCACUCCGCCUGGGGGAGUACGACCGCAAAAGUCUGA
rnacentral:rRNA from 1 species